rnacentral:rRNA from 1 species
ACGACUCUCGGCAACGGAUAUCUCGGCUGUCGCAUCGAUGAAGAACGUAGCGAAAUGCGAUACCUGGUGUGAAUUGCAGAAUCCCGCGAACCAUCGAGUCUUUGAACGCAAGUUGCGCCCGAGGCCACUCGGUCGAGGGCACGCCUGCCUGGGCGUCACGC